rnacentral:lncRNA from 1 species
GAAGUAUCAUUUCAAGAGUAAAUCUGAAAAUAUAUCCUAAGUCAAACCAUCAUGGCAAAGACCAACAACCUCAAAUUCCUCCUCCUCCUUCUCUUGGUGGCACUCCUUGUCACAACUUUCAGUAAGUUCAUCUUCAACUUCUUGAGAAAAAGUAUACUACUUUUUAAAAUAGCGUAUGAGGGUUCUAAUAGGUUUUAUAGUCAGAAGCUCUCAGAAGAGCUGAUGUUUGCACAUGUUCACGCGGUAAGUCAUGUGUGGGGUUAUUGAAACGGAGACCUCACGAUUUUUUAAGGCUCUGAUACCAUGUCAAAAACCGUUACAUUUCAAUAAUUCGAGAGCUUAAAUUGGUUUUAUAGUAUCAUUAAUUAAGAAAAACUUUUUUUUUAACAACGUGCGUUAUUAAAAUGCAAGAAGAAGAAGAAUUGGAGCGUGAUUCCAAAACAGAGGAAGCUGGUCAAGACAAUGAUGCUUGAAGCUAUUCUCUCCUUCAUCAUCUCCUCUCGUACCGGAGCUCCAUCCGGUUCGGGUCGAUUUCGUACUGGAUCCGGUAAGGUCAGGGAUGUGAAAUUGUGUGAUUGAUUUGCUUAGCAAUGUAAUGUUUUCCUCAUCUGAUCUCUGUUUCUCAGAGUUCGUUAGUUUCAGAAAAGAAAACUCGAUUACAGACACUGUAGCUGUAAUUUGUGUAUUUGAGAACAAGGGUUUUUUUCUUUGAUAUGUAGUUAAUGAAACCCAUAUUUCAUUUCUCUUCUGUAAGUUACGUUUGUGUAAAAAGAAAGUGAAUUUGUCAAGUCUCUGUUUUUGUUCCUGACGAAAACAGAGUAAUGAUGAAUAUGGUCGUCGGACGGAGAAAGCAAAAGGCCGAUUGAUUAGUCUGCUACUGACUACUGAGAGUGAAAGUGCGAUCCUCGUCGGAGUCUCAAUCAGACGCGCUUUUGAGUUUUGAAUGAAUUUAUUGAAGUGGUGGGUUCGUUCUUACAGAGGCCUUGAUAGUGAGUGACCGGAGGAUGGUUGUUUCCCCGGAAAAUCAAACUUUCUACUUGGUUCGAUGAUCGGGAAAUCGAAAUUCAAUUACAACGAAAAUGCUUUUUUAGAUCACUUCUUUCAUAUUUGUUGGUCAUGUUGAUAUGUCUUUUGAUCAAAAUUAAGUGAUGUCAAUCGAUUAAUUAAUUAAAUCGAAUCGAUUAAUCGUAAUAGACUUGGAAAACGGCCUAACUGACAAUCCUUUUCACCUCUAUAGAUUUUAUAUGGUAAUGAUAAAUCUCAAUGCAAAAAAUCAUUUGAAUCUCAAUUUAGUUUUCAUCUUCCACCUUAAUUCAACUUUUUUUUUACUAAUUUUAAUGAAAUUGGAAGAAAAUGAUUUUCAUGGUCAAACGAAACGGUAUCGUAUUAUAUAUUCCAUGGGGUUUGUAGGUGGGGCUCUAAUUAAGUUCAUCGCAAAUUCGCAACAAGCCAAUCUUGAGUCAAAAUGGUAUAUUUGGACCAUAUAAUAUUGUAGCAUAUAUAUGAAUUCUUACCUACGAAGUAAAAAAGUAGUUAAGAAAAAUGCUAACAUCAUUAUCAUCAUUCAUCACUCCAAUUUGACUUUACGUUUUUAAAUUUUUUUUGACAACUAACAUUAUAACCUGAGAGUUGGACGGAUCAUACAAAUGUGUAUAGGUUUGUAAAACCCCAUAUCCGCCCCUGAUCAUUACAUUAGAUGCAUCAUCCGAUUUAUAUCAGGAACUUGCACAAAGCUAAACCAUAUGACAAUACUUAAAUACUUGUAACAGCUAGUGAGUAGAAUAUUUUUCAAUUAUUGUACAUCAAAAUCAGAAUUGUAUAUUUAGCUAAUAUUGUUCAGACACAAAACCUCUUAUUUUUGGCUAAUAAAACACAAAGAGAGACAACAAUAUAAUUUACUGCAAAUAGUUUUUGUCAAACUGAUAUUCAAAUCAAAGAGUUUUGACAGUUCCUCGAACCAUUACUCUCCAAAACUCAACUCUCUGUAUCACCAAAUUAAACAAAAAAAAAAAUAAAUAUCCUGCAAUUCCAUGAAUAUACGUAAAGAACGGCAACCUAAGGACAAAACACAUGCAAGCUAGUUUGAAGCUUUUACGUAACCCAAAAGAAGAGUCCGAGCCCUUGCUUUUUGGAUCCCAUCCAAGGAGCAAUCUGAGCCUUUGGAUCUCUUUAUAUGAUUUAAGAGUCAAGAUUAAUCAAGGGCAAUAUGGUUAUAUUAGUUUAAAUAUUUUUGUUGGACUAGAUCCAUCGAUCUCUGAUCGUCGGUCGGACCAUUGUCUCCGCUCCGGUCACCAGAAAGUUUCCCGAUCAAUUUCACAGCGAUUUUGUCCUCUGUUGAAGAAAUUUUUUCACCCACGUGAUCACCGUCGUCGGCUCUACGUUUCUGGAAUUUUUUUUUACAACUAACUUUAUACUUGGUGUAGAGAGUUGGACGGAUCAUACAAAUGUGUAUAGGUUUGUAAAACUCAUACCGAAGUGUAUACACAUCCGUGUAGCUUUUGUACGAAGUGUAAUACUAAGUAUUGUACUAAGUAUAGUACUUUUUUUUUUCGAAAUAUAGUACUUAUAAGUAUAAUAUUUAUAGGUAAUAUACACAUCACUGAACAGAAAGCAAUUAAAAAAAAAAUCAAAGUAUUAUUCGGGCGAUCACUCUCGCAUGGAGGAAAAGAGACUCUCAUGAAAGUGGUCCUACAAAGUCUCCCUACUUAUGUGAUGUCGUGCUUUCAGCUCUCCAAGAAGUUGCUCAAAUGUCUCUUUUCUGGGGAGGAACAAUGAACAAGGAACUUUGGAAGUGGCUUUGGAAGCUUCUCUUCUUCUGUAGUACAUUUUUCUAGCUGGCGCCUAAUAAACAAUGCGUUGGCUAUCAAGAAGAACGUUUUUCAAAGGAUGUGUGGCCCAUUCCCUACCUGUUAGAUGUGUGACCAACAAAUUAAAGACAUAACCCACUGUUUCUUCAACUGUGAUCAUGCUAAACAAGUUUAAACCUCUUCCAUGAACGAUCUCGUCUUCCUGAUUAUAAUCUGACCAUCUCUAACAAAAGCUGAAUUGUAAUGAACAAAUACCGCUAUAUAUGUACACUCCAAUAACCCGUCAUAACAUCUCACAAAUUUAUUUUUUCUCAAUAGUAGAUCAACCUAGCCCACUUUUAUACUACAUAGAGAAAACAACAACGUACGUACAGACAAAAAAAAGCAUGGCUGGAGAGUUUGAAAUUUGAACGUAUAAUCCUUGCAAUUAAUAUAUAUAAUUAAUUGAAGUGAUGAAUACUAGGGGUACUUCUUUAGAGAUAUAGCAUAUGUUUUUUAGAUAUCUUGUUAUUUUUUAGAUAACGUAACGGUCCAAAUACCAUAUGAAAGCAACAAAAAAAAAUUUGGAUAGAAUUUGCAUUGUUCAAAAUAGCUAGGUUAGUAAUUGUCGCCAAUUUCUUGCUAUAAAAAGGCAUGCAAUUGGGUUCUUCAAGUUCAUCACACACAACGGGAAGUAUCAUUUCAAGAGUAAAUCUGAAAAUAUAUCCUAAGUCAAACCAUCAUGGCAAAGACCAACAACCUCAAAUUCCUCCUCCUCCUUCUCUUGGUGGCACUCCUUGUCACAACUUUCAGUAAGUUCAUCUUCAACUUCUUGAGAAAAAGUAUACUACUUUUUAAAAUAGCGUAUGAGGGUUCUAAUAGGUUUUAUAGUCAGAAGCUCUCAGAAGAGCUGAUGUUUGCACAUGUUCACGCGGUAAGUCAUGUGUGGGGUUAUUGAAACGGAGACCUCACGAUUUUUUAAGGCUCUGAUACCAUGUCAAAAACCGUUACAUUUCAAUAAUUCGAGAGCUUAAAUUGGUUUUAUAGUAUCAUUAAUUAAGAAAAACUUUUUUUUUAACAACGUGCGUUAUUAAAAUGCAAUGUGUGAGCAGCUUCAGGUGCUGGUGAUCCCGAUUCGACGAGCUGCAGUGAUGGAUUAGAGCCUUAUACAGUAAAACCUCAUGAUACAUGCUAUGAUUUGGUUGACGGAGAUGCCGCCAAGCUUGCUGCUCUAACGAAGAACAAUCCUAAUAAGUGCGGCACCUCGUUGCAAGCCGGCGAUACUCUGUGCAUGCCGAAGGGAAACUAAGAAAGAACACAUCAAUGAAUCUGAACCGUACGAUUAAGGAAUAAUUCACUAUCUUAUAUCUUAUGUUAUGUUUGUAAUACAAAAUGCUAUGAAUAAGUAAUGGUUUUUUUUCUUUUACCAUCUGUUUUUGUUGUCGUUGAAAAACUACCGUACUAUCUGUUUUUUUUAUAAAUGAAACUUUUAUUAUAA